rnacentral:rRNA from 1 species
GGAGAACGUGCCCUUAAGCGGAGAAUAAUCUCGGGAAAUUGAGGAUAAUGCUCCAUAGGUCAUGGGAUCUGGAACGACCCAUGGCCGAAAGCUCCGGCGCUUAAGGAUCGCUCUGCGGCUUAUCAGGUUGUAGUGGGUGUAACGUACCCCCUAGCCUACGACGAGUAUGGGCCUUGAGAGAGGGAGCCCAGAGUUGGAUUCUGAGACACGAAUCCAGGCCCUACGGGGCGCAGCAGUCGCGAAAACUUCACACUGGGGGCAACCCCGAUGAGGGAAUUCCUAGUGCCAGGGCUUUUUGCCCUGGCUUUUCUCCGGCGCAGACAACCGGAGGAAUAAGGGCUGGGUAAGACGGGUGCCAGCCGCCGCGGUAAUACCUGCAGCCCAAGUGGUGGUCGAUUUUAUUGAGUCUAAAACGUUCGUAGCCGGUCCGGUAAAUCCCUGGGUAAAUCGGGAAGCUCAACUUUCCGACUUCCGGGGAGACUGCCGGACUUGGGACCGGGAGAGGCUAGAGGUACUUCUGGGGUAGGGGUAAAAUCCUGUAAUCCUGGAAGGACCACCGGUGGCGAAGGCGUCUAGCUAGAACGGAUCCGACGGUGAGGGACGAAGCCCUGGGUCGCAAACGGGAUUAGAUACCCCGGUAGUCCAGGGUGUAAACGCUGCAGACUUGGUGUUGGAGGCCCUUCGGGGGCAUCCAGUGCCGGAGAGAAGUUGUUAAGUCUGCUACUU